rnacentral:rRNA from 1 species
GAUGAACGCUGGCGGCGUGCUUAACACAUGCAAGUCGAGCGAGAAGUUUAGAAUGGAUCUUUCGGGAGAAGCUCUAAAUGGACAGCGGCGGACGGGUGAGUAACGCGUGGGAAACCUGCCUUAUGCAAGGGGAUAGCCUCGGGAAACCGGGAUUAAUACCCUAUAAAGCUCUAGCACCGCGUGGUGCAUGAGUCAAAACUCCGGUGGCAUAAGAUGGUCCCGCGUCUGAUUAGCUAGUUGGUGAGGUAACGGCUCACCAAGGCGACGAUCGGUAGCCGGCCUGGGAGGGUGAACGGCCGAGCUGGAACUGGGACACGGUACAGACUCCUACGGGAGGCAGCAGUGGGGAAUAUUGCACAAUGGUGGAAACCCUGAUGCAGCGACGCCGCGUGAGCGAAGAAGGCUUUCGGGUCGUAAAGCUCUGUCCUAAGGGAAGAUAAUGACGGUACCUUAGGAGGAAGCCCCGGCUAACUACGUGCCAGCCGCCGCCGUAACAC